rnacentral:rRNA from 1 species
GGGUUGUGAGGUUAAGCGACCAAGCGUACACGGUGGAUGCCCUGGCAGUCAGAGGCGAUGAAGGACGUGCUAAUCUGCGAAAAGCGCCGGUAAGGUGAUAUGAACCGUUAUAACCGGCGAUGUCCGAAUGGGGAAACCCAGUGUGACUCGUCACACUAUCAUUAACUGAAUCCAUAGGUUAAUGAGGCGAACCGGGGGAACUGAAACAUCUAAGUACCCCGAGGAAAAGAAAUCAACCGAGAUUCCCCCAGUAGCGGCGAGCGAACGGGGAGCAGCCCAGAGCCUGAAUCAGCAUAUGUGUUAGUGGAAGCGUCUGGAAAGGCGCGCGAUACAGGGUGACAGCCCCGUACACAAAAGCGCAUAUGCUGUGAGCUCGAUGAGUAGGGCGGGACACGUGGUAUCCUGUCUGAAUAUGGGGGGACCAUCCUCCAAGGCUAAAUACUCCUGACUGACCGAUAGUGAACCAGUACCGUGAGGGAAAGGCGAAAAGAACCCCGGCGAGGGGAGUGAAACAGAACCUGAAACCGUGUACGUACAAGCAGUGGGAGCCCCACCACCAAAGCGUUUCGCUUUGCGUGGUGCGCAAAAUGCGUAACGACAGCACGAUUGCGGUUAACGGAGCGUAAGCGACGUUCAACACAAGAAUCAGGCAGUGGAGCGUUUUGGGGUGGGGUGACUGCGUACCUUUUGUAUAAUGGGUCAGCGACUUAUAUUCUGUAGCAAGGUUAACCGAAUAGGGGAGCCGGAGGGAAACCGAGUCUUAACCGGGCGUUAAGUUGCAGGGUAUAGACCCGAAACCCGGUGAUCUAGCCAUGGGCAGGUUGAAGGUUGGGUAACACUAACUGGAGGACCGAACCGACUAAUGUUGAAAAAUUAGCGGAUGACCUGUGGCUGGGGGUGAAAGGCCAAUCAAACCGGGAGAUAGCUGGUUCUCCCCGAAAGCUAUUUAGGUAGCGCCUCGUGAAUUCAUCUCCGGGGGUAGAGCACUGUUUCGGCCAGGGGGCCAUCCCGGCUUACCAACCCGAUGCAAACUGCGAAUACCGGAGAAUGUUAUCACGGGAGACACACGGCGGGUGCUAACGUCCGUCGUGAAGAGGGAAACAACCCAGACCGCCAGCUAAGGUCCCAAAGUCAUGGUUAAGUGGGAAACGAUGUGGGAAGGCCCAGACAGCCAGGAUGUUGGCUUAGAAGCAGCCAUCAUUUAAAGAAAGCGUAAUAGCUCACUGGUCGAGUCGGCCUGCGCGGAAGAUGUAACGGGGCUAAACCAUGCACCGAAGCUGCGGCAGCGACACUAAGUGUCGUUGGGUAGGGGAGCGUUCUGUAAGCCUGCGAAGGUGGCCUGUGAGGGUUGCUGGAGGUAUCAGAAGUGCGAAUGCUGACAUAAGUAACGAUAAUGCGGGUGAAAAACCCGCACGCCGGAAGACCAAGGGUUCCUGUCCAACGUUAAUCGGGGCAGGGUGAGUCGACCCCUAAGGCGAGGCCGAAAGGCGUAGUCGAUGGGAAACAGGUUAAUAUUCCUGUACCUGGUGUUACUGCGAAGGGGGGACGGAGAAGGCUAUGUUGGCCGGGCGACGGUUGUCCCGGUUUAAGCGUGUAGGCUGGUUUUCCAGGCAAAUCCGGAAAAUCAAGGCUGAGGCGUGACGACGAGGCACUACGGUGCUGAAGCAACAAAUGCCCUGCUUCCAGGAAAAGCCUCUAAGCCUCAGGUAACAUCAGAUCGUACCCGAAACCGACACAGGUGGUCAGGUAGAGAAUACCAAGGCGCUUGAGAGAACCCGGGUGAAGGAACUAGGCAAAAUGGUGCCGUAACUUCGGGAGAAGGCACGCUGACAUGUAGGUGAAGCGGUUUACCCGUGGAGCUGAAGUCAGUCGAAGAUACCAGCUGGCUGCAACUGUUUAUUAAAAACACAGCACUGUGCAAACACGAAAGUGGACGUAUACGGUGUGACGCCUGCCCGGUGCCGGAAGGUUAAUUGAUGGGGUCAGCGCAAGCGAAGCUCCUGAUCGAAGCCCCGGUAAACGGCGGCCGUAACUAUAACGGUCCUAAGGUAGCGAAAUUCCUUGUCGGGUAAGUUCCGACCUGCACGAAUGGCGUAAUGAUGGCCAGGCUGUCUCCACCCGGGACUCAGUGAAAUUGAACUCGCUGUGAAGAUGCAGUGUACCCGCGGCAAGACGGAAAGACCCCGUGAACCUUUACUAUAGCUUGACACUGAACACUGGUCCUUGAUGUGCAGGAUAGGUGGGAGGCUUUGAAGUGUGGACGCCAGUCUGCAUGGAGCCGUCCUUGAAAUACCACCCUUUAAUGGCUGGUGUUCUAACGUAGACCCGUGAACCGGGUUGCGGACAGUGUCUGGUGGGUAGUUUGACUGGGGCGGUCUCCUCCUAAAGCGUAACGGAGGAGCACGAAGGUUGGCUAAUCCUGGUCGGACAUCAGGAGGUUAGUGCAAUGGCAUAAGCCAGCUUGACUGCGAGCGUGACGGCGCGAGCAGGUGCGAAAGCAGGUCAUAGUGAUCCGGUGGUUCUGAAUGGAAGGGCCAUCGCUCAACGGAUAAAAGGUACUCCGGGGAUAACAGGCUGAUACCGCCCAAGAGUUCAUAUCGACGGCGGUGUUUGGCACCUCGAUGUCGGCUCAUCACAUCCUGGGGCUGAAGUAGGUCCCAAGGGUAUGGCUGUUCGCCAUUUAAAGUGGUACGCGAGCUGGGUUUAGAACGUCGUGAGACAGUUCGGUCCCUAUCUGCCGUGGGCGCUGGAGAACUGAGGGGGGCUGCUCCUAGUACGAGAGGACCGGAGUGGACGCAUCACUGGUGUUCGGGUUGUCAUGCCAAUGGCACUGCCCGGUAGCUAAAUGCGGAAGAGAUAAGUGCUGAAAGCAUCUAAGCACGAAACUUGCCCCGAGAUGGGUUCUCCCUGAGACUACAAGUCUCCUGAAGGAACGUUGAAGACGACGACGUUGAUAGGCCGGGUGUGUAAGCGCAGCGAUGCGUUGAGCUAACCGGUACUAAUGAACCGUGAGGCUUAACCUUACAACGCCGAAG